UACAGAGGGUGCAAGCGUUGUUCGGAAUUAUUGGGCGUAAAGCGCGUGUAGGCGGCUUUGCAAGUCGGGUGUGAAAGCCCUCGGCUCAACCGAGGAAGUGCGCCCGAAACUGCAGAGCUUGAGUACCGGAGAGGAUGGCGGAAUUCCCCAAGUAGAGGUGAAAUUCGUAGAUAUGGGGAGGAACACCGGUGGCGAAGGCGGGGUCUCUGGACAG
rnacentral:rRNA from 1 species